AGACAAUGGCAGAGAGUGCUAGGAAGUAAAUAAGGACAGGUUAAUAAGGUGGGGCCACAGGGCGAGGCUUAUCCAUUGUAUUCUGGAUGUGCUGACCCCUGCGAUUUCCCCAAGUGUGGGAAACUCGACUGCAUAAUUUGUGGUAGUGGGGGACUGUGUUCCCCUC